rnacentral:lncRNA from 1 species
ACGGUCGAAAAUGAAUCCAUCAUGAGAUCCGACGGCUGAAGAUGCUUCCGAUUGAGAAUAAGAGAUUAUCAGCAUGAUCUGAUGGUCCAGAACCAAUCUCAGGCAUAAUCGAACAGCUAUGGUUCGAUCUGACUUUGAUAAGGAUUAAACUAUGAAUUUUGAUAAGAUCUGGGCGGUUCAAGCUCCAUCCGAUGGCCAAGAAUAUUCUUAAGGGGAU